CAUGCUUGCUGUUAGGGGAAUUACUAGAAUUGUUGGGACUUUAUAUAUUAUAGAGUGUGGUCUAGAUCUUCUUUAUCUGUAAAGUGUCUGGGGAUAACUCUUGUUAUGAAUUGAUACUAUAAAUAAAAUUGAAUUGAAUUGAA